GCUUUCUGAAAAGCAUAGGGAGUCGUGCCUUCCCAGUGGGCAUACGAGCCUAAACGGACGCGGUAAAUCGUGCUAAGGUAGCUAAGUUAUGGCCUAUUAAUUGUAGGUCUUGUGAAUGGUUUGACGAGCCUCCAACUGUCUCUAGGUUGUUUUGGUGAACUUGAGUUGAAUGUGUAAAUGCCUUCGUGGGUAAGAAAGACGAGAAGACCCCGUGAAGUUAAAAAUUUUAGCGUAUGGAGUGUUAUUCCCUGUUGGUGAAGGCUAGAGGGUUAAGGGAUUUGGUUGGUUUCUAAGUGAGGGGGUGUAGUGAAUGGUUUUUGCUGGGGCAGCAAAAGGGCAAAUUUAGACCUUAAUUGUAUUUAAAACGGGUGCGUUACGACCCAUAAUUAAAAAGGUGUGAUUAGCAGAAGGAGUUACUCCGGGGAUAACAGCGUUAUUCGUCCUGAGAGUUCUUAUUGGUGGACGGGUUUGCGACCUCGAUGUUGGCUCUGGAUAUCCUGGGGCUUGCAGGCGGUCCCAAGGGUUGGUUCGUUCGCCCAUUAAAAAUC
rnacentral:rRNA from 1 species